GAUGAAGAACGUAGCGAAAUGCGAUAAGUAAUGUGAAUUGCAGAAUUCAGUGAAUCAUCGAAUCUUUGAACGCACAUUGCGCCCGCCAGUAUUCUGGCGGGCAUGCCUGUUCGAGCGUCAUUACAACCCUCAGGCCCCCGGGCCUGGCGUUGGGGAUCGGCGGAAGCCCCCUGCGGGCACAACGCCGUCCCCCAAAUACAGUGGCGGUCCCGCCGCAGCUUCCAUUGCGUAGUAGCUAACACCUCGCAACUGGAGAGCGGCGCGGCCACGCCGUAAAACACCCAACUUCUGAAUGUUGACCUCGAAUCAGGUAGAAAUACCCGCUGAACUUAAGCAUAUCAAUAAGCGGAGGA
rnacentral:misc_RNA from 1 species